UAUUGAGCACUGACUGUGUACCCUGCAUGUGCUAAGUGCUUUACGUGCACUCUCGAAUUUAACAUUAGAAGUACUCACCAUGUCAGGUGGAGGUUGCAGUGAGCCAAGAUUGCACCACUGUACUCAAGUCUGGGCAACAGAGUGAGACCCUGUCUCAAAAAAAAAAAAAAAAAUUAGAGAUGGAGUGUUGCUAUGUUGCCCAGGUUGGACUCGAACUCUUGGACUCAAGCAUUCCUCCUGCCUCAGCCUCCUGAAUAGCUGGGACUAAAGGCACAUGCCAUCACACCCAGCUGGUAAAAUUAACUUUCAAUAAGCAUGAAGAGUAGUGAUGAAGAGGUCAGGGCUAGAGCCAGAUGGCCUGAAUUUAAAUCCUGCUUUCUCCUCUCUAGCUGUGUAGUAGCUGUGGGCAAGUUAUUUAAACUCUUUGAGCCUCUGAUUUCUCACCUGUCCAGGGCAGAUAUGAACAGGCCCACCUAACAGUGUUGCAAGGAUUCAGUGAGUUCACAUGAAGUGAUUAGAAGUGAUUGGGGCCAGGUGCGGUGGCUUACGCCUGUAAUCUCAGAACUUUGGGAGGCUGAGGCAGGAAGAUCACUUGAGGUCGGGAGUUCGAGACCAGCCUGACCAACAUGGAGAAACCCCGUCUCCAGUAAAAAUACAAAAUUAGCCGGACGUGGUAGCACAUGCCUGUAAUCCCAGCUACUCGGGAGGCUGAGGCAGGAGAAUCGCUUGAACCUGGGAAGCAGAGGUUGCAGUGAGCCGAGAUUGCGCCAUUGCACUCCAGCCUGGGCAACAAGAGCAAAAAAAAAGAAGUGAUUGGGCUGACUGAGUCCACACCACAUGAAGGGAUUAGAAGUGAUGCAUAGUGGAUGUGCAGAAAGUCCUCUCUUAAGGAUUAGGGUCAAAAAGAAAAAGAAAGGAAAGGGAAAAUGCUCACCAUUUGAGACCUGUCUGGAAAUUGCUGUACUUACUAUAAAUUUCUUCUCAGCUCCAACAUCUUUGAUCGUGAUUUUAUCAGGAAAAUACUAAUAAAGCCACUGUUUUGUUCAACUUCUGAUACUUGCUUUUUGAAAAAAUAAUAAUACCUUUGCCUUUUUAAGGAUUCAGUGAAAAUGCUGUUCUUCAACUUCAUUUUGGGGUGCAGUGGGAUUCACUGCUUCACAUGCUCCUUGUGCACACAUUUGAGUGCCUACUGUAUGCAGGCACUACAGGGGAGACAGGGUGACCAGGACAAGUCUUCCGACCUCAAGAAGCUUCAAGUCUAUUGGGGUUGGGAUGGAGUAGUGACACCACCCACCCCCCCAUCACCAUAAGUGUGAGACACAAGCCAAGGAGGCUCUGUGUGGGAGGCCCACUGACACUGCUGGAGCUACUUAGUGGGGCACGCUCCAGGAAGGCUUCCCAGAGGAAGGGGCUUCCCAUCCCAGAGGUCUAAGACCUUAAAGCCCCACCAGGUAUUAGUUCAUAUCUCCAGCCUCUAACAUAUUCCUAGAGACAGAAUUGUUCAAGUGGGACUUGUAGAACUCAGCUGUGCCCCAGAACCUCCAAGAUGCCCCAGGUUGGAACCAUGCUGGCCUCUCCUCUCUGCCAAAGGCCCCUUCAAGGAUGAGGCCCAAAUCCACUAAAGGACUGUUUACCACCCAGUUAUAUUCCAGACCAGAGAGGCAAGCUGGCAGCCUGCAUGCCAAACCCAACAAAAAUACGUGUUUUAGUGGCCCGUAGAGUAUUUCUUUGCACUGAAUUAUCACCAGGACUUAAAUCAACAUUUUAUCUAUUUAACCAACAUUAUCACCAACAUUUGUCACCAGGAGAGUUCAUGUAAAACUGCACAUUUCCAGCCUCUUUUGAAAGCUUCGGUGAGGCAGCCUUAGCCUAAAUUUGCCCGGGGCAGUGAUGGGGGCACUGAACAAGACUAUUCCUCAGAGUCCAUCGGGAGCCAUGGAGGGUGCUAAGCAGAGGAGGACCAGGAUCCCUCUGGCUAUGUGUGGAAAAUGGACUGCAGGGAUGAGGGAGCCCAGCGGGGAGGUGACUGCAACCAUCCAGGCAAGAAAGGAUGGUAGCCAGACCAGGUGGGAGCAGUCCGGCAGUGGGUUUGGUUCUGUCACUGUUUUAAAUGAAGAGGCUUCCUGGGGGUUAUACACAAGGUGGUAAGGAUGAUGCCAGUUCUCCUGUCCUGAGCCAUUGGAAAGAUGGGAUUGCCAAAAGCUGGGGAGGGAAACCACCAGUGGGCAGAGGAAACCAGGAUCCCAUGGCGAGUUCGAGAUGCCCCUCAGACACCCAGGUGGGAGCUUCAGGGAGGCAACCUGUUGGGGGUCUGGAGUUCAGGGCCGAGGUGGGGGCUGGAGAGAGAUGAGGAGCGGCCAGUGUAGAGAUGGUGCUUAGUGCCCCAGGCCUCAGAGUGGGCACAACUAGGGAGAGGGCCCGGGGCCACUCAACCUGGAGAGGUCACCGUCCGCCUGAGAAGCCCAGCAGGGCACAGGGCAGAGCUUCUGUGCUCCUUCCCUGGUGGGCCCGCUGACCUCUCCGGCGUCCCUUCCCCUCUCUGGGCUCCUGCUGCUCUUCCUCUGCGUGGCCAUCGCCCUCUUCGCGCCCCUGCUCUACGUCAUCGAGAACGAGAUGGCCGACAGCCCCGAGUUCACCAGCAUCCCUGCCUGCUACUGGUGGGCCGUCAUCACCAUGACGACAGUGGGCUAUGGCGACAUGGUCCCCAGGAGCACCCCGGGCCAGGUAGUGGCCCUGAGCAGCAUCCUGAGCGGCAUCCUGCUCAUGGCCUUCCCAGUCACCUCCAUCUUCCACACCUUCUCCCGCUCCUACCUGGAGCUCAAGCAGGAGCAGGAGAGGGUGAUGUUCCGGAGGGCGCAGUUCCUCAUCAAAACCAAGUCGCAGCUGAGCGUGUCCCAGGACAGUGACAUCUUGUUCGGAAGUGCCUCCUCGGACACCAGAGACAAUAACUGAGCGCGGAGGACACGCCUGCCCUGCCUGCCAUCUGUGGCCCGAAGCCAUUGCCAUCCACUGCAGACGCCUGGAGAGGGACAGGCCGCUUCCGAGUGCAGUCCUGGCGCAGCACCGACUCCCACGCACCCGGGGAAGGACACCCUCACUCCCACACCCCGGGAAGGACACCCGCACAUCAGCAGAGGGGCCCUACCCCUCUGCCUGCAGCCGUGAAAGGAAGCUGGGUCAUCAGCCCAGCCCCGCCCACCCCAGCCCUUAUGUGUGUUUCCCUCAAUAAGGAGAUGCCUUGUUCUUUUCACCAUGCAAAUAACAUGCCCAGCAAAAACUUGCUUUAUGGGUCUGCCUGGAGAAAAAAAUACAAACAGCAGCAACAGC
rnacentral:sRNA from 1 species